UACGUAGGUGGCAAGCGUUGUCCGGAAUUAUUGGGCGUAAAGCGCGCGCAGGUGGUUUCUUAAGUCUGAUGUGAAAGCCCACGGCUCAACCGUGGAGGGUCAUUGGAAACUGGGGAACUUGAGUGCAGAAGAGAAAAGCGGAAUUCCACGUGUAGCGGUGAAAUGCGUAGAGAUGUGGAGGAACACCAGUGGCGAAGGCGGCUUUUUGGUCUGUAACUGACGCUGAGGCGCGAAAGCGUGGGGAGCAAACAGG
rnacentral:rRNA from 1 species